rnacentral:pre_miRNA from 1 species
UAGCUUUGUCCUGUGUCAAACUUAUGUAAAUUGACCAAACAUUUAGGAAACUAUAUUAACAUCUACAGGUUUAAUACUAAACUAGCAAAACAUAAUUCAUGGCGAAUUUAAUGAAACUAAUCUAGUGUUGUAGAUGUCGGUGCAUUUUCCCAUAAACUCAGUCGAAGAUAAAGAAGUUUGACUUGGGACAAAACUAA